rnacentral:rRNA from 1 species
CGACGGAGGGUCCUAGCGUUGUUCGGAAUGACUGGGCGUAAAGGGUACGUAGGCGGUUUGGUCAGUUAGAUGUGAAAGCCCAGGGCUCAACCUUGGAACUGCAUUUAAUACUGCCAAACUUGAGAUCGGAAGAGGAAAGCGGAAUUUCUAGUGUAGAGGUGAAAUUCGUAGAUAUUAGAAGGAACAUCAGAGGCGAAGGCGGCUUUCUGGUCCGAUACUGACGCUGAGGUACGAAAGCGUGGGGAGCAAACAGGAUUAGAUACCCGAGUAGUCC